CCCUUAGAUGUUCUGGGCCGCACGCGUGCUACACUGAGUGGAUCAGCGGGCCAGGUUACGCGAGAGCGUUUCCUAAUCUUCAAAUCCGCUCGUGAUGGGGAUUGACGGUUGCAAUUUUCCGUCAUGAACGAGGAAUACCUUGUAAGCGCGGGUCAUCAUCCCGCGCUGAAUACGUCCCUGCCCUUUGUACACACCGCCCGUCGCUCCUACCGAUCGAGUGGUCCGGUGAGGCUUUGGGAUCUAAGCGAAAAGAGCGUUUCGCUCCUUUUGCUGGGAGAACUCAGUCGAACCUUAUCAUUUAGAGGAAGGAGAAGUCGUAACA
rnacentral:rRNA from 1 species